CAGCAGCCGCGGGAAUACGGAGGGUGCAAGCGUUAAUCGGAAUUACUGGGCGUAAAGCGUGCGCAGGCGGUUUCGUAAGACAGAUGUGAAAUCCCCGGGCUUAACCUGGGAACUGCAUUUGUGACUGCGAGGCUAGAGUGUGUCAGAGGGGGGUGGAAUUCCACGUGUAGCAGUGAAAUGCGUAGAGAUCGGGAGGAACAUCAGUGGCGAAGGCGGCCAUCUGGGACAACACUGACGCUGAGGCACGAAAGCGUGGGGAGCAAACAGGAUUAGAUACCCGUGUAGUCCCUGUCUCUUAUAC
rnacentral:rRNA from 1 species